rnacentral:rRNA from 1 species
UACAGAGGUCUCAAGCGUUGUUCGGAUUCAUUGGGCGUAAAGGGUGCGUAGGCGGCGCCGUAAGUCAGGUGUGAAAUUUCGGAGCUUAACUCCGAAACUGCAUUUGAUACUGCGGUGCUUGAGGACUGGAGAGGAGACUGGAAUUUACGGUGUAGCAGUGAAAUGCGUAGAGAUCGUAAGGAAGACCAGUGGCGAAGGCGACUCUUUGGCC